CCUAGGGAUGCAUUGAAGACCAAGACUCAUCAAGAACACAUCCAUGGCACCAAAAGUGCUUAAGUGGUCCAUCAAAAGGCUUAGCACAAGCUUAGAAGAGUAAUUAGUGCUAGAAUAUGCUUAGAGAGGAGUGAGUGCAAGGUGUGUCGACCUUGUAGUCAAGUUUUAGAGUGAACCACCGCUGUACAAGAGGUGUGCCGAUGCUUUGGAACCUUGAUGGCUCGUCGGCAAGUCUUUGACCCUCCAGCUUGGUGUGGAGUGGCGUCGACAACCUUGUUCGGGGGACGUGGAGACCCCCCCUCCCUUCAUGGAGAGGCUCCUUAGUGGAGACGGCAUCAAAGUGACCGAUGGACUUGGCGUGAGCCUUAGUGGCCGAGC
rnacentral:lncRNA from 1 species